rnacentral:misc_RNA from 1 species
AAAAAAUAAAAUCUCAAGCUCAUUUGAAAGUGUGCGGCACAAGACAGAAGAACACAAUGUAACCACUAAAUUUAGCCAUCAAUUAACGUACCCUUCUUUGAAUUAAAGAAGGCAAAAUAAUAACAGUAUCCAAAUAUAUAGAUGUUCAUCACUAACGUCUACUGCUUCAAAUGUAAUUAGCACAAUCUGAGAAAUUGUAAUGGCUUCUACAGGAUGAAGUCUCACAUGCGAACGCCUUUUACAGCAUGAAGCCUUCCAUCCAUGGACAUUGCCUUCAAGAAAAAUGGGAACUGCCUCUGCA